UUCCCUCCCUCGCCUUAUGGCUAAGAUCAAGUGUAGUAUCUGUUCUUAUCAGUUUAGUAUAUUUUUAUAAAACAGAUCAAUAAAAAGAUGUCACACUUA
ensembl:snRNA U2 U2 spliceosomal RNA